rnacentral:lncRNA from 1 species
GUUCUUGCUGCCUGCACAAAUUGCAGGUAUAAAUUUCACAGCUGAUCACAGGGACUCCAGAAUUCAAUUAACUCUCUGCUCAUUUAAAAAAAAAUGCUGCCUGCCUAUUUAAUUAUGAGUGUCACUGAUACUACACAUGCUGUUCAGGAAAACUCCAAUUAAUAAAGCAUUGCAUCAUUAAUAUGAGUGACAGCAUGAAGCCUGUGACUCUCUCAGGAGCCUGUCUUGACCCUCUGCAGUGACAGACUUGGGUUUACUGGAAAGUGGCAUCCUUUUCUUCAGCCUUAGGUGGUGCUGAGGGAGCUCUGGGGUUGUCUCCCAGCUUACCAGGCUGUACUGGGGGCACUGCUGUGGAUGCUGGUUGGGGUGUAACAUACUGCUGCCGACUGACUUAGACUGCCUGAUACGUGGGCAGCCUUCUGGGGUCCCUGAUUUUGGGGAUGGGGGCUGUACAGAGACGCUCUGGGCAGAAAUCAGCAGGGAUUAAGUUGGAGAAGACAUGGCUACAACAACACAGCAGUGUUCUCCUAGCACUGCCUCCACCACAUUAAAGCGCCUUUCACUGCCAGGAAGGGUGUUAACCAAAGCUGUACAAAUAACCAUGUCUGAGUAGAACGUUUCAUUUUUGAGUGUUCUUGAUUUUAAAUUUAGCUCAGACUCAAAGAGCUAUCAAUAAACAGACAUGUUUCAUUUUGACUUUCUAAGGCGUCUCUUGUUUUAAGCCCCAGUAGAUCUGACCUGCUCGUUCUCUGCCUCUGUCUGUGCUGGUCCUUCUGCUCUCUGGAUUUCACACCUGGACAGUCGGGACUGACCUCUGCCUCCACAGAAGUGACUGCACAGCGGAGCGGGGCUGAGACUCGUGUACCUUGUAUGUCUAUAUUGGCACCGACUGGCGCUUUCUUGGUAACAUCAGCACAAGUUUUUUGGGCUCAGUGAGCAGAGGAUGAGUGGGUGUUUCUCACGUAUGGAAGACCUUGUCUUCAGAAUGAGACUGAUGUUCAGAGCCAGCAGGAAAUAAUCAGACUUUAAUUAAAAAAAAAAAUCAAACCAAAUACACAAACAAAAAACAGUGAAACAAAGAAAAAAAGUGACUUCUCAACUCUUUUUUUCUGAGAUCAGAACCAUGAGGUGGUGUUUGCUUGUGAGCUCCUCGCUCACUUUGAGGCCCUCGAGCUGCUCUAGACUCAAGGAGACUCCACUCCGUG